GAGUAAUGUCUGGGAAACUGCCUGAUGGAGGGGGAUAACUACUGGAAACGGUGGCUAAUACCGCAUAACGUCGCAAGACCAAAGAGGGGGACCUUCGGGCCUCUUGCCAUCAGAUGUGCCCAGAUGGGAUUAGCUUGUUGGUGAGGUAACGGCUCACCAAGGCGACGAUCCCUAGCUGGUCUGAGAGGAUGACCAGCCACACUGGAACUGAGACACGGUCCAGACUCCUACGGGAGGCAGCAGUGGGGAAUAUUGCACAAUGGGCGCAAGCCUGAUGCAGCCAUGCCGCGUGUAUGAAGAAGGCCUUCGGGUUGUAAAGUACUUUCAGCGGGGAGGAAGGUGUUGUGGUUAAUAACCGCAGCAAUUGACGUUACCCGCAGAAGAAGCACCGGCUAACUCCGUGCCAGCAGCCGCGGUAAUACGGAGGGUGCAAGCGUUAAUCGGAAUUACUGGGCGUAAAGCGCACGCAGGCGGUCUGUCAAGUCGGAUGUGAAAUCCCCGGGCUCAACCUGGGAACUGCAUUCGAAACUGGCAGGCUUGAGUCUUGUAGAGGGGGGUAGAAUUCCAGGUGUAGCGGUGAAAUGCGUAGAGAUCUGGAGGAAUACCGGUGGCGAAGGCGGCCCCCUGGACAAAGACUG
rnacentral:rRNA from 1 species